UACGGAGGGGGCGAGCGUUAUUCGGAAUUAUUGGGCGUAAAGAGCUCGUAGGCGGUCUGUCGCGUCUGCUGUGAAAAUCCAGGGCUCAACCCUGGACCUGCAGUGGGUACGGGCAGACUAGAGUGCGGUAGGGGAGAUCGGAAUUCCUGGUGUAGCGGUGAAAUGCGCAGAUAUCAGGAGGAACACCGGUGGCGAAGGCGGAUCUCUGGGCCGUAACUGACGCUGAGGAGCGAAAGCAUGGGGAGCGAACAGG
rnacentral:rRNA from 1 species